rnacentral:rRNA from 1 species
AUUGAACGCUGGCGGCAUGCUUUACACAUGCAAGUCGAACGGUAACAGGCCUUCGGGUGCUGACGAGUGGCGAACGGGUGCGUAAUGCAUCGGAACGUACCCAGAGGUGGGGGAUAACGCAGCGAAAGCUGUGCUAAUACCGCAUGUGAUCUGAGGAUGAAAGCGGGGGACCGCGCAGCAAUGUUUGGCCUCGCGCCUUUGGAGCGGCCGAUGUCGGAUUAGCUAGUUGGUGGGGUAAAGGCCUACCAAGGCGACGAUCCGUAGCUGGUCUGAGAGGACGACCAGCCACACUGGGACUGAGACACGGCCCAGACUCCUACGGGAGGCAGCAGUGGGGAAUUUUGGACAAUGGGCGCAAGCCUGAUCCAGCAAUGCCGCGUGAGGGAAGAAGGCCUUCGGGUUGUAAACCGCUUUUGGCAGGAACGAAACGGUGUCCGCUAAUACCGGGCGCUAAUGACGGUACCUGCAGAAUAAGCACCGGCUAACUACGUG